AAUCUUUCUAUGAAAUAAUCAUUGAUGUACUUAUUGAAGGAUAGAAAUUUAGAGAGGCUUAUGUAAUAAAUAUUGAAUUGAGCUUCAUUCUAUAAGAAGUAGCAAUUCUAGUUCUAAAAAAAAUAAUCUCUCAUUGUUUGGAGUCCACUAUUAAAGAAUGUGGUUGCCAAUUGCAUUACAAAUAUAAGUCAAAUAGAUGUGGAAAAAAUAGGACUAAACCACAUGCAUGCAUUAUAAACUUUGUCAUAUAUUUGCUGCCAUUUUUAAUAAACUA
rnacentral:lncRNA from 1 species